AGAGCAUUCAACUGUUCCGGCAUCAGAGCACACAGCCAACAGAGGCUCGCGCUGGAGAGACUUGAGGAGAUGCAUUCUGCCACCUCACUCCCCCGAGAGACAGGUGCUUUUCAAAGUUAUUUCCCCAGACUGGAGCGGUUUUGACAAUUUUCUGAUUUGCUUAAAAUGAGCGAUGACGAAAUGUCAUUAGAAGCAUCUGCAAUCAUUAAGGGGGCUCGUCCUGGAUUCUGCCACUGUCUCGCAGGGAGAAGAGACAGGAGACUAAUUAAAUGAAGCCGGCUCAGCCGGGAGCCUGGCUUCCAGAGGCACAAUCUCCCUUGCCAGGCGCAGGGCCGCUGCCUGGCUGCACUAACAGCAGCCGCCCGGCCUAAUCCUCCUUCCUCUGUGACGAGCAUUCCGACGGUGUCCGGAAUAAUAAUGUAAUUAUAGAGAGAAAACACCUCAGCCAUGAAGGGCAAGGAUUUGGAGCUGUUCAAACAUGGGAACUGGAAUCAAAGCCAGCAAAGGGAUCAAGUUCUGAAUGGUCGUCAGCAGCAGACCAUAAUUCCUAUGUCUGCCUGGAGACGCCAGAAGAGCAAGAAAUGGACUCUUGACAGUGAGCCAAGAAGGAUGCUGUGUGAAGACCUCAGGAGGCUGGUGUGCACAUGCGUUCGUCACACAUGGGCAAUAAAGCUGCCCUUUCCUUCUCUAUCGUGAAAAGUGCUGGCCUCAGAACUCUCUAUGUGAGGUGAUCUUGAACUUCAGAUCCUUCUGCCUCUGCCUCCUUAAGCCUUAGGACUUGGAGGCAUGCAUGGCUGUUCUCACGGUGCUGGGGAUUGAAUCCAGGGCUUAUUGCCAUGAUAGACCUCUGCAGUUACCCAUCCUGCAGGGUUCCGUAUCUACAUGAGUUCUGAAGCUGUAGCCCUCAUCUUGGCACAGUGAGGAAAUCUACCCUGGGGAGAACAGGCCCAGUAUGGUGGAGCCAAAGACAACGGGAGAAUGACUAUCAGAGGAUACUGACGGAGCCACUGAAUUAAUUCACUCCACAGUCACCCUUCAGCCGGGUUCUUCGGCGAAGUCAUAAAUCUCCUUAUCAUUUGAAUGAGCUGUGCCUCCCAUUAAUUACAGCUACAAGCAGCCAAAACCAUGCAUGGAGUUUCUAGGGGAAAUAAUCUAAAGACCUACCAAGCACUUAGAAGUGAUACUCCAGGAAAUAAAACCACAUCGAAACAGUCCCUACACCCUCAGGUCCAGAAGACACAUGACUCUAGGGUCACCCCACCGGUCUCCUGGUUCUACAGAUGAACACGGGGUUCCCACAGCUGCCUCAACUGCACCAUUUAAUCACUCAAAUAUAACGGGUGUCAGGCUCUGAGGGGAGCUAAUC